ACAAGGUAGUAAAAAAUUAAAAUGCUCUUUAGUUAAACCCCACAAGAGAAGGGUAUAGUCCCAAGUUAAGCAGUAAUCAUAUAAAACUGGCUCAACACUGGGUUUUAGGCUCUACUGAUGUUACAGUUUGUUUAUGUAGCAUCCCAUUUUUAUGCAAUUUUGUGAAUUAUAUACAGUACUAGUUAAUUAAGUUUCUUGUUAGCCAUCUUUUUUCUGUUGUUACUGUUGCCGUGUUUAAAAAUAGAGCAAAGGUUAAGAAAAGGUCAUCCCUCAUUAAGCCCCCUUUAAUUAGUAAUCCAUUCUCUACUGUAGGAAUUCUUUUGCAGGUAAGCAUGUGUUAGUGAAUGUGAUACACUGAGCCUGAAACAGAAUUAACCGUUUCUCUUUCUUUUUAAAUUGUUGAAACAUUUUCUUAACUUUAUUCAGAAGCAGAAUAAAAGAACACCCCUCUCCCUUUAAGAUUAUUUAUGAAGAAGAAAAUAUCAGCAUUUCACACUGAAAAGAUCUUACAGACUUUGUUGAUUUUUUUUUUCUUUUUCUUUACUCCUUACCUGGGUCUUCUGUCUUCUUCUAAGAUUAGCCAGAUAGUUUGCUGAAGAAAAGGAUUGGUGUGGUUUCACAGAAGCUCUGACAUACUGUGACCUAACCCCUUCCACCAAAUGACCCAGAACACUGGGGCCUAUCUUAUCAAAGGAGGAAAACCGGUAGAAUUUGGUAUAUGGUCCAGGGCACUAAGUCAAUAACUGGGACAAGGUUUUCAAAGUAAAAUAAGCAGUCUGUAAACCUGAUUAUGGAGUUGAUUGGCCUCAGAAAGGAAGCUGGACCACUUUGUCCUCUCCCCUUCAUCCCCAAUGGGUCAUGGUUUAACUCCUUGUAGGCCAUCACUUACCUAUAAGAUGAUCCUUUUGUACCAAGAUGGGUAAAAUAUAUUUAUUGACUAAAGUCACAAGCAUUCUAAACAUUCUCUGUACCCCUUAAAUGUUUGAAUCACUUUGAUAUAAUUGGAUCAAAAGUUAUAAUUGACUAGCGAAUUGCCCAUCAAGAAUGA